UACGGAGGAUCCAAGCGUUAUCCGGAAUCAUUGGGUUUAAAGGGUCCGUAGGCGGUCUUGUAAGUCAGUGGUGAAAGCCCAUCGCUCAACGGUGGAACGGCCAUUGAUACUGCAGGACUUGAAUUACUGGGAAGCAACUAGAAUAUGUAGUGUAGCGGUGAAAUGCUUAGAGAUUACAUGGAAUACCAAUUGCGAAGGCAGGUUGCUACCAGUGGAUUGACGCUGAUGGACGAAAGCGUGGGUAGCGAACAGG
rnacentral:ncRNA from 2 species